rnacentral:rRNA from 1 species
UACGUAGGGUGCGAGCGUUAAUCGGAAUUACUGGGCGUAAAGCGUGCGUAGGCGGGUCUUUUAAGUCAGGGGUGAAAUCCUGGAGCUCAACUCCAGAACUGCCUUUGAUACUGUCGAUCUGGAGUAUGGAAGAGGUGAGUGGAAUUCCGAGUGUAGAGGUGAAAUUCGUAGAUAUUCGGAGGAACACCAGUGGCGAAGGCGGCUCACUGGACUGGUAUUGACGCUGAGGUGCGAAAGCGUGGGGAGCAAACAGG